rnacentral:rRNA from 1 species
GACGAACGCUGGCGGCGUGCCUAAUACAUGCAAGUCGAACGCAGUGGGGACGGGUGAGUAACACGUGGGUAACCUCCCAUCAGAGGGGAUAACACUUGGAAACAGGUGCUAAACCGAUACUGAUGGAUGGACCCGCGGUGCAUUAGCUAGUUGGUGGGGUAACGGCUCACCAAGGCCACGAUGCAUAGCCGACCGGGUAGGGUGAUCGGCCACACGUGGACUGAGACACGGCCCAGACUCCUACGGGAGGCAGCAGUAGGGAAUAUUGGACAAGUGACGAAAGUCUGAUCGAGCAACGCCGCGUGAGUGAAGAAGGUUUUCGGGUCGUAAAACUCUUUUGUUAGGGAGGCGGUAUCUAACCAGAAAGCCACGGCUAACUCCGUGCCAGCAGCCGCGGUAAUUC